CGCCAGACUCCUACGGGAGGCAGCAGUGGGGAAUAUUGCACAAUGGGGGAAACCCUGAUGCAGCGACGCCGCGUGAGUGAAGAAGUAUCUCGGUACGUAAAGCUCUAUCAGCAGGGAAGAAAAUGACGGUACCUGACCAAGAAGCCCCGGCUAACUACGUGCCAGCAGCCGCGGUAAUACGUAGGGGGCAAGCGUUAUCCGGAUUUACUGGGUGUAAAGGGAGCGUAGACGGCAGUGCAAGUCCGGAGUGAAAGCCCGGGGCUCAACCCUGGGACUGCUCUGGAAACUGUAAAGCUGGAGUGCGGGAGGGGCAGGCGGAAUUCCUGGUGUAGCGGUGAAAUGCGUAGAUAUUAGGAGGAACACCAGUGGCGAAGGCGGCCUGCUGGGCUUUUACUGACGCUGAGGCUCGAAAGCGUGGGGAGCAAACAGGAUUAGAUACCCGCGUAA
rnacentral:rRNA from 1 species